CUGUUGAUGCUAGAUUUUGACACGUGUUUUGAAUCAGCGUCAGGGAAGGAAAAGAUUGGCCGAUGUGGCGGGUUAAAAGCUAUAGUUGGGAAUCGGCCGAUUGGCGUUACAAUAUUUCGGCUGAUUGGCGAACGGAAUUGAUGAAGGUCGGUCGAUUGGAAGGCUGAGGCAGCUGGGCCAAUAUGAGCUUAAGGUGGGCUAGAGAAGUAGAUAGCUAAAGAAAGAGAUUGGCCCAUGGGAGUAUGAUAACCAACUCCAAUACGAGUUGUGUUUGUAAAUAUUUGUUAUCGUUUAAAUUUAGAGAUAGAUCCUAGUCAGUUAAGGAAAUCAGUCGGCGACUUCGCCAAAAACCUUUUUUUUCAUGAGUUUGUACAGAUUGGCAGGGCUGCAUCGACACGAUCUCCGGCUGAUUUGUAAGUUCCAUUUAUCGAGUAAUAUCUAAGCUUUAACUUCAGGCGCAUCGCUGUCGUUUCGUUUAGAUUUAUUCACCAGUUAUCGAUAUUAACUAGAAUUAUAGGUUUUAUCUAAUGCUCUAGCUUUUAU
rnacentral:lncRNA from 1 species